ensembl:snRNA U6 U6 spliceosomal RNA
GUGCUCACUUUGGCACCACAUAUACUAAAAUUGGAACAAUACAGAGAAAAUUAGCAUGACCCCUGUGCAAGGAUGACACAAAAAUUCAUGAAGCAUGACAUUAAAAA